UCAGUAAUGUUAGUAGUAAAAUUUACAUCACAAUUAAGAUUUCAUGCUAAUCAAUUUGGUAAAAUAGAACUUCAACUUUCUUUUUCUUUUGUCCUUCAGAUUUUCCAGUCUAUCACACUGCUUUUGACUCCUAUAACUGGAUGACAAACCAUGGGGAUCCAUUGUUUCAACGUCACGUGGCUGUAGCUGGAGUUUGGGGACUUCUAGCUCUUCACCUGGCUGAUGAUCCUAUUUUACCUUUCAACUAUGUCUUACACAGAACAAUUAUGGAACUACACAAAUCUCCUACGCAACUUGGUGAAAGGUAAUGUACCCUGCACCCUAUAACUGCAUCCAUUCAGGAACUCGCCUCUGCAGCCGAAGAAGCUGAGGGAGAAGCAAAGGAUGUUGUUCUAAGAUGCAGAAACUGAGAAGAGGAAAGAAAUAGUGGGUUUUUGAUAUUGAAGAAGCGGACUUUGAAUGAUCGACUGAUGCUUGCUGAAAGAGGCUUCCUGGAUUCUGAUGGGCUUCAAGGAAGGAAAUGGUUCAAGCAUCUGGCGGAGAAAAAGAUAGCUACCAUUCAUAAUGUUUUUGCUGUCAUAAGGGGAUCUGAAGAGCCUGAUUCCUAUGUCCUGCUUGGCAACCACAGAGAUGCAUGGACAUAUGGAGCUGUUGACCCCAAUAGUGGAACUGCAGUGCUACUUGACAUUGCUCGUAGAUAUGCUCUUAUGAUGCGUCAGGGGUGGCAACCUUGGAGGACAAUUGUUCUAUGCAGUUGGGAUGCAGAAGAGUUUGGGAUGACUGUGCAGUUCAAGGACCAGGCUUCUUUGCUGGUGCAACGCCUCAGCCAGAUAAUCUUCUCAUUGAGGUUGCAAAGAAGGUCCAGGAUCCUGACUCAGAGAGCAUGACCAUAUAUGAUAACUGGAUGAUUACAAAUAAAGUCAUCAAUGGGUUCCUUCUGUUGAUUUAUACUAUGGAAGAGAUUUUCCAGUCUAUCACACUGCUUUUGACUCCUAUAACUGGAUGACAAACCAUGGGGAUCCAUUGUUUCAACGUCA